UCAAGUAGUCUUCCCAUCUUGACCUCCUAAAGUGUUGGGAUUACAGGUGUGCACCAUCGUUCUUGGCCCUUUUUUCUUGACCAUCUUCCAAGUGAUGUUGGUGGAAAUCACCGAUGGGGACCUAUGCAUGCAGAGGGCUGAUUGUAAUUGAGUUCUUUCUGCCUCCUCACUAAUCUACACACUGUAGGCAGGGACCUGGUCUCAUCCAUGCCUGCAUCUGCAAGCACUGCCCACUUACACCAAAGUCUCCCCAUUGGUCAGCUUAGUUCCGUGAAGGAACUCCAUUUCCACAGCAAGGACUGACCUCACACUGGUGGCUCCAGGUCACUGCCCAAACAUUCUGAAGGGAAGAGAACUUCUUGGUUCCGCAGAUAAAUAUAGGGCAAAUGCUGGACUGUAGCUAAGUAUUUCCUUCAUCCAUAGGAUAGAAUACUGACAAUUUGUGAGUGAUGGACAAGGUUCAGAGUGGUUUCCUCUUUUUCUUUUUGUUUUUAAUGGAAUGCCCACUUCAUUUAGGCUUGCUGUAUGCAGAUGGACUCCAUCCAGCUGGAAACAUAACAGGCUUACCAGGUAGCUUCAACUAUUGGUUUUACUUGACUCAGGAGAACUGAAAAGCUGUUUCAGGGGAAAUUUAAAAAGAGUAAUUAUAAUUCACCUCAAAAAGUUUUCUUUUCAAGGCAAUAAACAGUCACAACCACCCAGAAACAUAACCAAAGACCCCAAAGUGUUCUUUCGUAACACCCAGUUAUCUGGGAUUCAAGGGGCUGCCUCCAGAUCGAUGGCAAUAAUUCAGCAUAGACCUGCUCUUGUUAAAGUAAUUUUAAUUUCGAGUAUAGCCUUCAGCAUUGCCCUGAUAUGUGGGAUGGCAAUAUCCUGUAUGAUAUAGUAAGUAUCUGCUUAAUAACAUCUACUAUCCUUAAAUAAGACAUAACAAGUCAACUGACGAUUAUUUAGUGUCAAAGGAUGAUGAUGAUAUUUCUUAUAAUUGCUAAAUUAUUAUGUGAAUACAAAUUUCCAAAUUAGUGUUUUUCAAAAUGUGGAUUGUACUCAUGUUGGGUCGUGAUACACAUUAAAAAAAAAAAAAAAAGAAACAGGACAGAAUACAAUUCAGCAGAAUAGAAAAUAUCAGAAAACAUAAAUUAUUAAUAUAAAAGGCUGAUGUUUAAACUUUUCAAACACACAUGUGAGACAGGCACACACACAGACACACGGUUGUGAAAUAUACUUCUUACUGGGAGUCAUGUUCAAAAAUGUUUGAAAGACACAGUUUGAGAUGCUGACAUCCUCCCAAAAAUUCAGUAUUUUAUUUUAUUUUACUUUUUAUAUUUUACUAGAGACUGGGUUUUGCCAUGUUGCCAGGCUGGCCUUGAGCUCCUGGCCUCAAGUAAUCCACCCGCUUUGGUCUCUCAAAAUGCUGUGAUUACGGAUGUAAGCCAUCAUUCCCAGCCCCCCCGAACAUGGCCUCCCAAAGUGCUGGGAUUAUGGGUGUAAGCCACCAUUCCCCCAGAAUUCGGUAUUUUAAAAUGAACUUGAGGCCAGGUGCUGUGGCUCACGUCUGUAAUACCAGUACUCUGAGAGACCUGAGGU